rnacentral:lncRNA from 1 species
UUUGACAUGUCAAGAACUUCCCAGAAAUGGGAGGGUGCCCUAACGGGAGCUUGAACACAGGUGGUGCAUGGCUGUCGUCAGCUUGUGAAUGCAUUGGUGAUUGGUGGAUUCUGGCGUGGGCCCCUGGUAAGGUGGAAUAAGAUUUCAUAGGCGGGGCUGCCUUUACUUUUUGGCCAUCUCGCACAGCUUGUAUCCCACACGAUCAGGGUUGUAGAUACAUGGUCCUAUGUCCCUAGUCGAGGAGCAAGUGAAAUCCGAUGUUACGAGAAUGUUUUUACUUCUGAGCAUUGAAGCAUGAACUGGGGGGCUAGCCGUGGCGUAGCUGGUCGUUUGCGUGGGGCGUCGUGGUGCAUCGUGCAAUUGUUUCUGAAACCUUAUCCUUAGGGAUUUAAGACAGAUACUAUAUGGCAGCGCAGACAUUAAGUAGUCCAGACUUGAAGUGUCGUUCCGCGACAAAGUGACCGACCGCGUUGUACAUUGUGAAGGUGGUAAUUGUGGUAGUCGAUGAUAUGUGGCACGAAAGACCCUUACAUAUGGUAUCCACGCCUUCGUUGCUGCUGUUGUGCUGCUUCAAAAGGACGGUCAGGAAAAUACACAUGUACACUGUCAUGACGUACACUUCGCCAGCAUGUGCACGUCAUUUAUUAUAUUUGCGAGAACUGCAUGCACACGUCCAUGCAUCCGCUGGCCUCUUAGGAUGCCUUAACCAGCACACAGCUCGGCAAUCCCUGCUGCGUGGGGCUUCGGCCGGCGAACCCUCUGCAACACACAUGCCGCACACGUCCUGUAAUAUCUUUAGCUGUCUAGGCGAAUGAUCUUAACAGAAUAUACUUCCUAUUGGUUGAGCAUAUGCACAUCCCGUUUCCCACUGUCACCUCACGGCGCUCAACACGGAUCCAACAGAACAUUUGUCUCCCAUAAGGUGCACAACGGCAUAAGUCUGCGUUACACCGCACACUCUCCUGCCUUGGGAUGGUUCAGUGCAUUAUUCUUCAAUUCACAGCAAUCCGUUUACUUCCUUGUUUUCGUGGGCAUGCCGUACGGGACGAGGCAGCAAUCGCCAGCAUUGCAGCCGCCGUAGCGUUUGUAACGUGCCAUUACCAUCCAAGGAGGCUUCGGCGCGCAACGGCCGACAACCCCCUCAUGCCGUGGAAUGGGCCACAGCGGGGCUGCCUUUACUUUUUGGGAUACGGUGACAUGCCUGCAAACAAGUCCAUAAAGCCACCCCCGUCCGACCUGGGCUCAGCUGCCUUGCGGCGCUUGGAGACCGGGUUAUUCGCGCCCUGCAGUCAAAAAGAAGAGUAUAAUUUACCACCAUCUAGAGGUGGUUGAGAGGCAGGGGAUAAGCUGGAGCAAGGGCAAUGUGUUCUUGGCGCCCCGAACCGCAGUAACAAGUAGGGUGGGGCGUCCGGGUACGGCAUCUUUUGACAUCCUCGCACCUUCUUCCGCGAGUCGCCAUGGCCAGAGCUGACCUCGACACCACCACCAGCAUCAGCGGUCGUCGUCUGCAGGCCGGUAACAAACAGCAAUCACUCUGCCAUGCAAGGCGAAUGCAGAAGAUGACUGUUUUUUUGGCCCAGGAGAAAGCGUGCCCGCAUGUGCCAUGUCGUUUUCUAACACGUGCGGUUGUAUUUAUUAUCCUCCCAAAUCCACCUUUCGGGUAAGGGCUACGCUGCUUCCCUGACCGGGACCCCCAAGGACAUUGCUAUGUCCAAAGCACUGGCUUUCCACUAAAGGCAUGCGCGCCUUCACCCACGCAUCCGCGCACGUCAUCACAUGAGAACACAUGUAUGGCCCAACACUUCCGUACAGUACUGCUGAGCGUCACAGGAAAGGUUCCGAAAUGCCUCUUUAAAGGUAUUUGGCUGCCGCGAGAGCCACAUACCUGUACAGACAUGCCCAUGGACAUGCCCCUGAACAGCGAAAAACGACCCCCCUUGGUGGCUGCAGGCAUCUGCGAUGGUGCUGGGGCGGCAGCCUCGGCGCCAACCUGCAGAUCGCGAAAGUUUGGAUGUGAGUGGGCGAGCUGUGUAGCUGUAGCACGGGACAGGCCAUGCGGAGCUCACAUAAAGCCGCCACAUAAUGUGAUCCGCCAAUCCCGACGCUCCCUGGUAUGUGCUCACCUUUGGUCGCUUGCUUCCAUGACCCGUUACCGUGACGUCCUGGCUUUGGCUCGGCUCGUCCACCUCACUCUCCGUCGCGAGGUCCGCGAACUCGCCAUACGCCCGUCGCUUGACAGCCGCUUUUCGCACAGCCCCAGGCACCGUGGCUCCAGUUGUCCCCGUCACAGUCGUGGUAGUUUGCGUAGCUGGAAAGCGCGGCGGCGGGGCGACGGGCUUCGGUACCUGGGAACGUGUCAGCACAGAAUGGACAAUACCAUCCGGAGGGGCAAGAGAAAACAAAUCAAGCGGGUUAAGUUCUGAGCGCGGCAAUAUACCUGACAAAUGCAAUUGAUAAGUUUAUGUUUACGGGUCAGCCUGGCUAUCAAAAGGCCAUCAAGCCAAGGGCAUAGCGCCAUCAGGACUUGGGGUCAGUAAGACAGCAACGGAUAGCAGCCGCCGGGAGCAUGCGUUACAAUUUGCCAAGCAUACCAAUGUCUGCAACGAAUACUGCUGUGUGGCAGGUCGAAGAUUCAGAGCUGAAUGAAGCUGAUUACCCAACUUGUCGGGGGGGGUCUGGGGGGGACGUAGCCCCCCCCAGCGCCCCACUCUUAAGGAAUACAUUACGGCGACGCUAGCAAAUUUGUUACUUAGGUCGGAAUAAAUUGAGACCCCCCCUAAAUGAAAAAAAAACACUGAUUACCGGGCGUAAGCACACCAUCCUUCAACGUUUUGGAGAGACACUGAGCGUUGAAAAGCCGUGACCAUAGAGACCCCAGAGAGAGGCUGCAAUCACAUAACAGGCCCGGAACGCAAAUGCGUGCACCCCAAAAUUAUUCAAAGAAUGCAGAGGGUCCAACAUAUCAGCCAGUACAUUUCCCAGUUACCGCACCUUGACCGUCGGAGGCGGCGGCGGCGGCAUGGCCCCUUUGUCCUUUGCCUUGGUAUCGGGGCCGCUGGGAACGUUUCCGUUGUUGCCUCCGAUCUGCGGUGCCAAGGGUUCCCUGGCGCUCGGUGCUGCGACCUGGCUGGCAUUGCCUUUCUUUGCAACCUCAGCGUUGCCGCCGUCUUCCGCGGCGGUAGUGCCCUUGCCCUUUGUUGCGGCUUUCGCUGAAGCUUGAGGCGCGGCAGCCGCGACACCGUUAGACGUAGGCUUUCCCCGCGGUGCACUUGGCUUGGGCAUGCUACCUCCCGCUGCAUCUUUCCCAGCAGCGCAGUUGGGCUUGCUGGGACCCGCAGUGGCAGUCAUGGCUUUAGGCGGUGGCCUCGGCUUCAUGCCGCCGCUGCCAGCCACCUGAUCGGGUUUUACUUCCAGCACAGCUCCACGCGGCGCAGCAGUCGCGGUGCGAGCGUUGCCAUUUAUGGCCUUCUCCCGCGGCUUGGAGGAAAUGGGUGGACCUGUCGCGGCAACCUUCUUAGCUGCUCCAUUCGUGUCCUGCAUGAAUUGUCCAAACGACACAUCACGAUGUGGUGCGUAUCCUUGCCCAGUGGCCUUACAGAAUGACUACAUAUGACAUCAAAAACGACAUGUUCCAACGUGCUUCAACAACAGUACCUGCGCUUCCUGCAGCACUUUUUACGUCCUUUCACAUAUAAAACUCACCUUGUCAUCAUAUGUCCGGGCCGGUUGCCGCUGCGAACCUGGCAUGAGGACCUGGGACAUCGGCACGUCAUCCUGGUCGCCGUCCCCGUCAUGCAGAGGCUUCGCCACGUGCAUGUACUCUUGCCUGCAGAAAGACACAGGGAUUAGGGAAGUGACUCAGUACGACAAGCGCAAAGAUGUCUGCAACACGCUAGGACAGGUGUGUGUGUGUGUUGCUGUCUGCAAAGCUAGAACACGUGAACGGCAGAGUAUGCAAAACGCCGAAUACAGCCCCGGCCCGGACAGGCCAAAGAGCAUUAGCAAUCUCUUAUUCGACCUCAAGAAGGCACUCAGGUCACACUCUUUUCUGUACCCCCUCCGCUUCCCACCCGUCGGUUUCUGUAGUAGGUGGCUCGGCCAUGCAUGCAUCCCCAUCGGCUCCCAUUUCGUCGCGGGCCACAAGGGCAUCGUCCUUCGCAUUCGGUGUGUUGUCGGCCUCAGCACUGCAGCCGCCGCCAACAGCCUUCACAUCUCUGCCGUCUACAACGCCUGCUGGCUGGUGCUCCGCUUCCGCUUCCAGAUCACGCUCCAUCUGGCCAUGUACGCCACGCACAAGCUCGCGUCCCUUCCGCUCCAGCUCCUCCUUCACAUCACGUAAUUGCCACUCGAGCUCACUGCGCAGCUCAUCCGCGGCGUCCUGUAACUUCUUCCGCUCAAGCUCCUGCGCCUGUAGCAAUUCCCCCUCGCGCUGCUGGUAUUCCACACGCUCCUGGUCGCGUUGCCGCUGCGCAUCUCGCACUUCGUCACGCAGCGUCUGCAAUUGGUGCUUUAGCUCCUCCUCCUUAACGACCCAGCCCUCGCCCGACUUCGCAACCUCGGCCUCCAGCUGGUGCCGCUGCGCCUCCCACUCCAGCUCACGCUGUUUGAAUGUUGAGUUCUGUUGCUCAAGCUGCUGCUCAAGCUGCGAACGCAGACGCUUCAGCUCAGUUUCACCAUCCAGCCGUGCUGCCGCUGUCUCCUCACGGACAGCUACCAGCUGCAGCUCAAGGUGCGAGGCUCGCUCACGGGCCGACACGAGUGCGCUGUCAACCACCGAGGAGCCGUCCUCCAGCUCCUGCAUUUAGAUUGGAAGGCUUCAUUAUUGCACACACCGAACCUCAAGUCACAAUAAGGACAACGCCGACGCGCAUCCUUCAGCGAAGCUGGGUACUGUAUGCCACACCGCAUAGCAGCCGUGGUCAAACGUAAGUCGUUUGCGUGCGUAAUACACACAGGAAACACGCUUCGCGCAGCUGUCGAUGCUCCUGUUAAAUAACUGGAUCAGAACGCUUGCAUACGCUUCUGCAAAGUGUCACCUGCAAGCGCGCCGUUAGCCUUUCCAUUUCCUCCUCCAGGACAUGCCGCUGCUUGUCCGCCUUCGCUGCUGCAUCUCUAAGAGACGUCGCGGCCUUGGCCUCGAGCUUUACACGCAAAGCUUCACAAGCUUGCCGCGCGCGGGAUUCCGCAUCAGUCUUCCCAGCCUCGUUCAAGGCCUCCCUCUCCCUAAACGUAGGGCAAGACGACACCGGACGUUGACGACAAGGCACAUCGUACUGCGUAGGACACGACUGCAGCACUGAAAAGCACUUGGCCUGACUGUGCAAUUGUGGUCAUUGUGGCAGAAUCGUGUGACCACCAAACGGGUGCUUUCAACCGUGCACAAGAAACACCCGCCGUGUAGGCCGCCACCGGCGCUCCUGUAGGGCCCACGCGCCUUGCAAUAGCUCGUUGCUGAGUUUACUCACUUUGCCCAUUCGUCACGCUCCUUCUGGUGCUUGGUCUCCAACUGCAUCCGCAGGGCGUUUGUUUCCUCCUGAGCCGCCGCGAGUGCUGCGGCCAAGUCGCGCUCGUAUUGUGCCUUUGGGGACAUGAGGAAACACACACAGCGUCACGCCAACCCGAGGUCCAACUGUCGUACUACGUGAGUGCAGAUGGCUCCCACCCGGCUCCCACGCGAGAUGGGCAGUGCCGAGCUGGUGAUUGAACUCCCACACGUACUGCUUCACAAAGGCCUCAGUGCAGGCUUCCACGCCACAGUGCAGGCUUCCACGCCACGUGCGCAAAGACAACAACAAUCCACAGCUUCCCAGGUACCCUCAACACAAGCAAUCGGCCACCUCCCUGCACACUGCGGAGCCAAUUAAGGCGAGGCAGUUCGGCCUGCUUAACGUAGCUGCGCGGAACUCACACAGGCAGCCAUGGCUACAUCCGCAUAUUGGCACAGGGGGUGUUACGGGGAUGACUACAUCAGAGACGUCCUCAUCGACACAUCAAUAGCGAUAACUACGUCGGCAUCUUAACUAUGUCGGCGGCGCACAUUACGUCGUGACAACAUGGUGUAAAAAUUAUCAACCGUGAACCAUCUUUUCAGGAAUGUGAACCGGCGUGAGUCGACUGAGUAACAUGACCCACCUUGCUCUCUUGCGCCUGCGCCCGGGCUUUACUCCUCGCCUCGGCAACCUGCUCCUUAAGCGCGGAGAUCUCCUCCAACUUGGAAGCUCGCAGCGCCUGCAGUUAGGCGUAUGUGCGAUGGUCAGCAAUAAUUUGACUUCCGAAACUUAGCAAACACAACUAGAAACGGUUUGCACCGCGGCUGGUGAACAAGAGCCCUGCAUUUAGUUGAAUGGCCAAAGGCAUCGCCUCAAAAAUGUAACCACUGCGAUAUGCUGCACCGCUACAGCAACGGUUAUUCCGGAGUAAGGACGGAGACUGACGGACACUGAAACGCUGCUGAAUGCACCUGAAGUUCUGUCCGCAAUGCCUCCUCGCGCUCCGCGGCUCCAUUCGCAGCGAGCGACUCAGCGGCCUGCACCGCGGCUGUUGCCUUCUUCAGCUCCUCAGCCAGCUACACAUGGCAAGCGGGAUGGAAUACACAAAAACGUUUAAAUUUAUAUUAAAUGUGGAACUCUUAUCACAUAAGCUCUCGAGGUCAGCAGAGAGCGGAACAGCGGACGACCGCAGCUUAACAUACCGGUGCCGCAACGAAAAACCGAUCUCCGUUAUCCUUAGAAAUGCCUGCGCACGUACAGCACUAAUUCCUACACAUAUACCCACCAAAGCGAUUUGGAAUUAUGUUUUGCAAUCUCCUUUAACACGCGAUCUCCCAAACCAAAGGUGUAAUAAUUGAGAAGCAAGUUGAACAACAAGAAUGACCUGUUGAAGCGACGGGGCGACCACAAGCCUCGCUAAAAACACACGCACACUUGUGUCAGAUCUACAAACACAAAUCGUGCACAUCGCAUGCUCACCCUCUUCGCCUCGGCCUCGGCCUCAGCGCGCACACGCCGACGCAUCUCAUCGUACUCCCGGGACGUGCGCUCUUUAAAUCGCUCCAGUCGAGCCUCAGCCGCACGCUCAGCAUCACGAAGCCGCUGCUCAGCCGCAGCUAUUGCCGCGCCCGCGCGAGCCGUUUCGGCGGCAGCGGUAGCUUGCGCCGUGGCCAGCGCACUGCUCAGCUCAUCCUAUGCGGGAUGCCAAACAGCAAGGACGAGCAGCAUGUCAAGAAUCCCCACGAAGCAAGCGGGCAGCCACGUUGAACCCUGCCUGCAUAACCAUAGUCCCAUAAUGACGCCUGCUGCGGGACAUGACGAAAGGGUUUUCGUCCAGUCAGCAGCCUCCCCUAGGUGCCCACUGCCUCACCUCCUUUAGACUAGCUCGCUCUCGUUCCACUGCUAACUCCUCCUCUGCUCGGGCUACAUCAGAGACACGAGCUGACAGCUCCUCGCGCAGAGCCGCCUGGUGGGCCGCAUUUAAUACACAUGGGCAGUUAGCCCUCAUUAACACAAGGGGACAAGGGACAAGGGGAAACCCUCGUUAAGCUACGCCUUGCAUAUGCCAGUUUUCACAUUAUGGACGCCUCGAGCUCACCUCCUGCGAGAUUAGCUCCUCAGCACGCCUGGCCGCUUCCACGCCCUCCUGCAUUAAGCGCUGCACCUCGGCGUUCCUACCUGCGAGCUCCGCCUGCACGGCUUCCAGGCGAUGUCCUAACUGCUCGGCCUGCAGACAAAACAAAAGGAUUGGACCACGAGGACUCAGUGGCACCCAACCGAGGUACGCAUAUCGUGGAAUGGACGUAGAUGAACUAGCACAGGAAGUAGGGUCGAUAUGAAGAUCCAAUUCAUUGCGGCAUCGGGCGUGGACAAUCCCCUAGACCAUCCACCAUGCCAGUUGAAACUGCCUUGCGACAGACCUCGGCUGUUGCGUUCUUUACUUCCGACGCGCGAUCAGCCAACGCAGCCUGAAGAUUGGCAAGCUCCUCGUUCAGUCCGGAAGCGGUCGCGUUCAGCGCCUGUCAAGCCAGCGCAAGGGUUCAAGUGAGCGAGUUAUUAACAUGUGAUGGCACGAAACCCAAACUACUACUAGGUAAAACAACUGAAAGGCAUAUGCACAGAUGGGACCCAUAUGAUACCGAGACAUCAAGGUCGGCAAGAAGACAUCUAUAUACUUGUCGGCGCCUUCCCACCUCCGCCUGUGAUUCUAGGUUUUGGAUCCGCUCGCGAGCGACCUUUUGGUCGUUGUGGGCCAUACACAGGUGCUUGUCGAGCUCCGUGAUCCGCUGCUGGGCCUCCUGGUAGCGCUCCGUGAGCUGCGCAGCCGCCUUCGCAGAGCGCGACCUUAUGCGGACAAUCGCAUUCGAGGGAAAGAGUAGGCGCCCUUUGGUCAGUGCUCCAAUCAUCAGGUUGAUCUGAGGGCCCCGUGGCAACCUUCACGUGCGCCCCGUCCUCGUGCAGAUCACACAAUGAUACGGUCACUUCGAGCCAGCUGAUGCUCUCCAUCUGGGCGCGUCCUUACUACUACGGGGGAAAGUAUGCAUUUUGCUUCCUCUUCCUACCUCUCUGCAUCCAGAUCCAGACGCAGCUGCUCGGCGUGGCCGCGUGAUGCUGCUACGUCGGCCACCGCGGCGUGUAGUGAUGCCUGUAGCGACGACGCUUGCACUUCGGCGGCUUUGUCCUUGGCAGCCUGUUUGGCGAUUGUGUGUGCGUAUGCGUGCGUACACCUUGAGUUGCGUUACCUACGAAGGUGUAACGGGCCUAUACGAGCUGGUUGGGUUACCAUUACAGGCAAGUGGGUAACGCAAGUGCGUUAGCAGCAGCAGCAGCAGGCGCCCUUACUGUUGAUGCCCACCUUACCCACUUGCCAUGUAUAGUAACCCACUCGGACAAAUUGCCAGAUGUGGUAUGAGCGUUUAGUGAUGACGACGGGGAAGAACUAAAGGGAUGACCCUGCCGUGGAAGAUGCAGAUGCUCAGGAUAGGGGUUUCCGUACGCAGGUUUCACAUUGCCAUACGCAGGACGUAGCACGCAAGACCCACAGCUCAGUAAUUUAGACAUCAUUUUGUCAUUUUGCUGCCUUUAGCUGCAUCGGCCUAUCUCACUCACCGCAUCCGCUGCGAGCCGUUCCAGCGCGGCAUCCUUGCGUGCCGACUCCUCAGCGGCCUGCCGUAGCUGUGACUGCAAGUUCGAUAUGUGCCCUUGGGCUGUGGGGAGGAAUAAGCAUCAGACGUUUUAGCCUUGGUGAUGCCACCUCUCUGAACAACGAUAUCCGUUGGGUUACUUGGACAGUGCUACAUACACCGCUUCAUUAUCGUUAGGUUGGCAAUAAUGGGAUGCAAGAUGGUACGGACAGCGUGCGAAUUGGCAAAGUGACGCCUGCGGCGACCCAUGUAGUCUUAAUGUCCUUGUGCGACCGGGUCCAUCUGGGUCAGAGGACCCUUGGGAACCUGCAGGUACCGCAACACACACCUAGCCCACCUAGCCACCUAGUCCACCUAGCCCAGCAUUCCGCCAAAAAACAGGUGGCACAUCUUCACAGAGUGCAAUUUAUACAAUUUGCAUUAUACAACCUCCGCACGAAUGCGGGGGUGUCCGUAAUGCACAGAGUAUCCUCUUCGCAGAGACGGGACCUCUCUGUUGGAGAGACUGAUAACCAUGUGAAUUGGGAUGGUAGGUAUAACCCGAGCCCUGCAAUGUACGGCCACGCACCUCGCCGAAGUUCAGCCGCUAGCUGGUCUCUAGCCGCCGUUACAGCGUGCGCCGCCAUUUGUGCGUCGCCAAUAUCGCGGUCUUGUCCGAGCGCCUUGACAUCCAGGUCGCGACGGUAUUGAUCGACUUCGUUAAUGGCACGAAACAACGUUGAAGCACCAUCGCAAAUGGCAGUAGGGGAGCAGAAUGGGGGAGCAGAAUGCCCAUGAGGUAAAACGUACUACAUGGGAGAAAUACGGAGCAGUUGGCCACAGUACGGCCGCAGUACACAAGAUGCUCUUAUGAUUCACCAGCAUGCCGUCGACGUUUUGAUUACGGCGCACUUACAGACAUUCUUUGCCACCUAGUGUUCAGCGUGUGUACAGCUACAUCUGUGGUGCGUCCCUUCAUCCAGAGCUGCGUACCUCGGCCAAUGUCAUACUUAGUGCCCUCGAUGGAGUUCCGGAUGCUGUCCUGAAUCGCCGUCACGACCUUCAUCUUUUCGAUAACGUAGUUCACUUGAGCCUCAUCUGCGUAUCAGAUGCACAGCCAGAUGUCCAGAGGUACGUACGGAGCAGCAACCACACGUGGCCAUUGGGAAAUUAUAUCAUGGGCCCUAUCCGUGGAAGCUUCUGCCGUAACCACUGCGCGCCGUGCGUGGGCAACUGAACGAGGUCAUACACGUCGUUUCGAAUACUCGCUACAAUCUGAAAUCCGUGUAACCAAAUUUCAAUUAGGAUUAUCGUUGUCGCCUUUCCGGCACUGAUUAGAAAUAUGAAUCGUCUUUGGAUUUAAUGCUGUGUGGUACUGCCCUGGUAUGCCUCGACCGUCCGAAGGGCAAGACUUUUAUGCUCAGAGAACGCGCGUACCGUCUUUGGCCUUGGCGCGUAGCACAACGUUUUCUUGCCGUUCGCGGGCCAAUUCCUGCUCCUUGCGAGCCAGUGCCGCCUGGACCUCCGCAAGCUUCUCGCGCUGCGAGUGCAUAUAGCAUGACAUGUAGAAAGUAGGAGGAUUAUUGAUCUUCACCAUCACACUUAAUUCUCGCGGCCUGCAGAUACUUUGGGUGUGAUCGCAUCGUCUCCUAGUGCGUGCCGCCGCGCCUAUCCACCGUACCGCACACAAGCACGGAGCGACGGAGGGAUGCAAUCGACAUUAUAAUCUGGGUCAAGGUGGUGUUAAUAAUUACAGCUUAAACCUGCCCACACCGUGCCGUUCAGACUCAUGUCUUGCCCUAUGCUGUCGAGUGAUGCGACAUCGACAACGCCAUGCCGUCAUGUGCUUACGAGCCGCAAGUUAGAGCGGGGUCCUUACAUAUGUUGUGACGUCCUGACGUGUAUUCUCAUUCUCCUCCGUCAUCCGAUCUGUAUAAGCAGCGUGGACUGUGUUUCAGCAAAAAAAGAAAAUUUUGUAGUGUUCCAAUGCACAGGAUCAAGAUUUAUAGCUUUAUUCUUCAAAAUAAGUAAUAUUCCUUGAUUUAUCCAGCCAACCGGCGCUCGCAAACUUACAGGGUACAACUAAUAGGAAGUCCAAGUCUCACCGCUAAGACGCUUCAGGUGCUCCAGGACCGCCCCCGCGUUCCCUGUAGGCGGAAGGUUGAGGCUACCAUUGGUAUGCCCGGCUGGAAGUAGCCUUUGGCGAAGGCUUGCGCCGGUUCCGGGCGGGGGCGUUUCUAAAAGCAGGGCAGGAGACCUGAGCCCGCUGCCCUGCCCAAUAGGCUUCAGGGACAAUUGUUGCGCGUUCAUUUUUAAAUGCUAUGGUAGGAAGCAGCUGUAGAAUGAAGCUUAGGCUGUCGCCACCUUUUCACCACGGUGCUCUCCCGAAAGAUGUGGGCACUUAGUAUACGUUAUAAAUAGCAAGGAUCACUGAUGCUUAUGCUAAACAUACAUCUGUAC